UACGGGGGGAGCAAGCGUUGUUCGGAUUUACUGGGCGUAAAGGGCGCGUAGGCGGCCAGUGCAAGUCAGUUGUGAAAUCUCCGAGCUUAACUCGGAAAGGUCAACUGAUACUGCUCGGCUAGAGUGCGGAAGGGGCAACUGGAAUUCUUGGUGUAGCGGUGAAAUGCGUAGAUAUCAAGAGGAACACCUGCGGCGAAGGCGGGUUGCUGGGCCGACACUGACGCUAAAGUGCGAAAGCUAGGGGAGCAAACGGG
rnacentral:rRNA from 1 species